AAAGUUUAAACUGACGUGUGAUUAAAGGUAUUAAAGAGUGGCAGGUGGGUUUGGUUGUACGGUCAUUUAUUCAUAUAGAGUGUGACCCACCAACUCUCUGCCUGUCCUUCUUUUCUCUUACCCCCAGAAAAAAAAAAAAAGACACUGAAAUCUGAUGAAAGAAAAACCUGAAACCUAAAAAACAUAUGAAGGCCUGUCGGCUCGGCCUCAAAUCAUUGCGAU